rnacentral:rRNA from 3 species
GGGCGUAAAGAGCUCGUAGGUGGUUGGUCACGUCUGCUGUGGAAACGCAACGCUUAACGUUGCGCGUGCAGUGGGUACGGGCUGACUAGAGUGCAGUAGGGGAGUCUGGAAUUCCUGGUGUAGCGGUGAAAUGCGCAGAUAUCAGGAGGAACACCGGUGGCGAAGGCGGGACUCUGGGCUGUAACUGACACUGAGGAGCGAAAGCAUGGGGAGCGAACAGGAUUAGAUACCCUGGUAGUCCAUGCCGUAAACGUUGGGCACUAGGUGUGGGGGACAUUCCACGUUCUCCGCGCCGUAGCUAACGCAUUAAGUGCCCCGCCUGGGGAGUACGGUCGCAAGGCUAAAACUCAAAGGAAUUGACGGGGGCCCGCACAAGCGGCGGAGCAUGCGGAUUAAUUCGAUGCAACGCGAAGAACCUUACCAAGGCUUGACAUACACUGGACCGUUCUGGAAACAGUUCUUCUCUUUGGAGCUGGUGUACAGGUGGUGCAUGGUUGUCGUCAGCUCGUGUCGUGAGAUGUUGGGUUAAGUCCCGCAACGAGCGCAACCCUCGUUCUAUGUUGCCAGCACGUGAUGGUGGGAACUCAUAGGAGACUGCCGGGGUCAACUCGGAGGAAGGUGGGGAUGACGUCAAAUCAUCAUGCCCUUUAUGUCUUGGGCUUCACGCAUGCUACAAUGGCUGGUACAGAGAGAGGCGAACCCGUGAGGGUAAGCGAAUCCCUUAAAGCCAGUCUCAGUUCGGAUCGUAGUCUGCAAUUCGACUACGUGAAGUCGGAGUCGCUAGUAAUCGCAGAUCAGCA